CUAUAAUAUUAAAAAAAAAAAGAAAAAAAGCCUUAAAAAGUACUUUGAUUAGAUAAAUAAGUAUAUAUUGUAGCAUGUAUAAUGAUUGCAAAUGAAAUAACUAUCAAUUAAAACCAAAUAAGGUGAAGUAGACACAUAUAUAUUAGCGUACAGCCUUCGGCAUUGAGUAAAAUCCAUGGAUUAGUCAGCUGUACUAUAUAGGCC
rnacentral:lncRNA from 1 species